UGGGGAAUAUUGGACAAUGGGCGAAAGCCUGAUCCAGCCAUGCCGCGUGUGUGAAGAAGUUCUUCGGAUUGUAAAGCACUUUAAGUUGGGAGGAAGGGCAUUAACCUAAUACGUUAGUGUUUUGACGUUACCGACAGAAUAAGCACCGGCUAACUCUGUGCCAGCAGCCGCGGUAAUACAGAGGGUGCAAGCGUUAAUCGGAAUUACUGGGCGUAAAGCGCGCGUAGGUGGUUUGUUAAGUUGGAUGUGAAAUCCCCGGGCUCAACCUGGGAACUGCAUUCAAAACUGACUGACUAGAGUAUGGUAGAGGGUGGUGGAAUUUCCUGUGUAGCGGUGAAAUGCGUAGAUAUAGGAAGGAACACCAGUGGCGAAGGCGACCACCUGGACUAAUACUGACACUGAGGUGCGAAAGCGUGGGGAGCAAACA
rnacentral:rRNA from 1 species